rnacentral:rRNA from 1 species
AACGAACGCUGGCGGCAUGCCUAACACAUGCAAGUCGAACGAGACCUUCGGGUCUAGUGGCGCACGGGUGCGUAACGCGUGGGAAUCUGCCCUUGGGUUCGGAAUAACUCAGAGAAAUUUGAGCUAAUACCGGAUGAUGACGUAAGUCCAAAGAUUUAUCGCCCAAGGAUGAGCCCGCGUAAGAUUAGGUAGUUGGUGGGGUAAAAGCCUACCAAGCCGACGAUCUUUAGCUGGUCUGAGAGGAUGAUCAGCCACACUGGGACUGAGACACGGCCCAGACUCCUACGGGAGGCAGCAGUGGGGAAUAUUGGACAAUGGGCGAAAGCCUGAUCCAGCAAUGCCGCGGGAGUGAUGAAGGCCUAGGGUUGUAAAGCUCUUUUACCCGGGAUGAUAAUGACAGUACCGGGGGAAUAAGCCCCGGCUAACUCCGUGCCAGCAGCCGCGGUAA